GACAUCCAUACCGUAACCCGCCUUUUGACUCUGGAUGUUGAAUCCCUAGUUUCAUCUCCUCAUGUUUCAUAAAAUUAGGGUUUAGUCUUUUUCCCAAAUUCUUAUUAAAAUUAUCAGCCCUGCACUGAGAUCAUAUAACAAUGGAAAACAACAACAACGACGCCACCACCAACACCGACGUCACCACGACGGCCGUCGUAUCCAUGGAGAACCUCAACCAGGUAGCCAAUUGGGUUAGCACCACCGUGAUUUCGGCCUUCUUCUCCUCGCUCGAGCGCUUUUCUUGCGUUAAUGUCGCUACCGACGACGAUGAUAAUGAAGAUG
rnacentral:misc_RNA from 1 species